GACUGGCGGCGUGCUUAACACAUGCAAGUCACGGGGGCCCGCARGGGCAACCGGCGAACGGGUGCGUAACACGUGAGCAAUCUGCCGAUCUCUGGGGGAUAGCCGGCCCAACGGCCGGGUAAUACCGCAUACGAUCAUCGAGGGGAGUCCCUUGGUGAUGAAACCUCCGGGGGAGAUCGAGGAGCUCGCGACCUAUCAGCUAGUUGGCGGGGUAACGGCCCACCAAGGCAACGACGGGUAGCUGGCCUGAGAGGAUGGCCAGCCACAUUGGGACUGCGACACGGCCCAGACUCCUACGGGAGGCAGCAGUGGGGAAUAUUGCGCAAUGGACGAAAGUCUGACGCAGCGACGCCGCGUGUGGGAUGAAGCUCUUCGGGGUGUAAACCACUGUUGCCCGGGACGAAACUCCUCUUUCGAGAGGAUUGACGGUACCGGGUGAGGAAGCACCGGCUAACUCUGUG
rnacentral:rRNA from 1 species